CGCCAGACUCCUACGGGAGGCAGCAGUGGGGAAUAUUGCACAAUGGGGGAAACCCUGAUGCAGCGACGCCGCGUGAGUGAAGAAGUAUUUCGGUAUGUAAAGCUCUAUCAGCAGGGAAGAAAAUGACGGUACCUGACUAAGAAGCCCCGGCUAACUACGUGCCAGCAGCCGCGGUAAUACGUAGGGGGCAAGCGUUAUCCGGAUUUACUGGGUGUAAAGGGAGCGUAGACGGCAUGGCAAGUCAGAUGUGAAAGCCCGGGGCUCAACCCCGGGACUGCAUUUGAAACUGUCAGGCUGGAGUGCAGGAGAGGUAAGUGGAAUUCCUAGUGUAGCGGUGAAAUGCGUAGAUAUUAGGAGGAACACCAGUGGCGAAGGCGGCUUACUGGACUGUAACUGACGUUGAGGCUCGAAAGCGUGGGGAGCAAACAGGAUUAGAUACCCCUGUAGCC
rnacentral:rRNA from 1 species